rnacentral:tRNA from 1 species
UGUGAGGUGGCUGAUUUUUAGGUGUUGAAUUGUAGAUUCAUUUAAUGGGUGUAUAAGCCCUCUCAUAA